UAAGAGUUUGAUUCUUGCUUAUUUUUUAGUUUUUUAAAUGAAUUAUAUGUUUUUUUUUAAAUUUUUGUUUAGAACAGUAAUUAGAAUUAUUUAUAAUAAUGAUUUAUUUAUAGUAAUUUAAUUAGGUUAGAUGAAUGUUGUGCCAGCAUUCGCGGUUAUACAACUUAACCAUUUUAAAUUUUUUGUAUUGUAGAAUUUUUUAAGUGUUAUAUAGUCUCAAUAUUUUCUUAUUUAGGUGGAAUUUUUAUUUUAAGGUUAGUUUAUAUUUAAAUUUUUUUAAUUUUUAGUAAUAAACUAGGAUUAGAUACCCUAUUAUUUAAAUAAUAUAUUUUUAUUCUGAAUAUUAGUAGUGUAAUUUCUAUUAAACUCAAAGAAUUUGGCGGUAACUUAUUCUUUCCAGAGGAAUCUGUAUUAUAAUUGAUAAACCACGAUAUUUUUUACUUAGUUGUUGUUUGUAUAUCUCUAUUUGUAGGAAUGUUUUAUCAGGAUAAUUUUCUUUUUUUAGUUUAAAUGUAUGUUAGGUCAAGGUGCAGUUUUAGUUAAGUAAAUAUGGAUUACUUUAGUUUUUAUAAUUUAGUUGGGCGGGUUAAUUUAUUAUUUUCUUUUACAUAGGAUUUGGUAGUAAAUUUAACUAAUUUGUUAUUUUGAAUUUUGCUCUAAGUUAUGUACAUAUCGCCCGUCGUUCCCUUUUAAAUGGGACAAGUCGUAACAAAGUAGAUCUACCGGAAGGUAGAUCUAGAAUGAUUUU
rnacentral:ncRNA from 1 species